rnacentral:rRNA from 1 species
GACGAACGCUGGCGGCGUGCUUAACACAUGCAUGUCGAACGGUAAGGCCCUUCGGGGUACACGAGUGGCGAACGGGUGAGUAACACGUGGGUGAUCUGCCCUGCACUUCGGGAUAAGCCUGGGAAACUGGGUCUAAUACCGGAUAGGACCACUGCCUGCAUGGGUGGUGGUGGAAAGCUUUUGCGGUGUGGGAUGGGCCCGCGGGCUGUAAGCUUGUUGGUGGGGUGAUGGCCUACCAAGGCGACGACGGGUAGCGGGGCGGAGAGGUUGACCGGCCACAGUGGGACUGGGAAACGGCACGGACUCCUACGGGAGGAAGCAGUGGGGAAUCUUGCACAAUGGGCGCAAGCCUGAUGCAGCGACGCCGCGUGAGGGAUGACGGCAUUCGGGUUGUAAACCUCUUUCAGCACCGACGAAGCGCAAGUGACGGUAGGUGCAGAAGAAGGACCGGCCAACUACGUGCCAGCCGCCGCCGUAA